CAGUAGCAGCAAUAGCGGCAGCAGCAGCAGCUUCUUCCUCCUCCUGCUGCUCUCGCCAUGUUGGAAGGAAACGACGUCAAGGCCGCGGCCCGAGUGGAUGCAGAGGAGGAAGCGGCGCUGGCGGUAGCUGGUACUGUUUGUCCAAGUCCGGGAGGAGGCGCAGCCGCAGGGAGCGACCGAGCGAAACAGGAACACCAGCAGCGCUAGUGAGGCUGAGCUUGGACUGGUUGCCGGCCCCGCGCUACAGGUGUGAGGAGAGGAGGAGCCUCGCCUUUUCCCACAGAGCAAUGAGGAAAGAAAGAAGCUAAGUGGCGCAGAGGUACUGCCUAGAGAGACAAAGUGCGUGCUCGCCUCCUCCGGUUCACCGUUCCUCACGAGUAACCCAGCCACCCUUCUGGAAUUUACUACUUGAGAGUAAGGCCCAUUACUUCAAAGUGGUCAAGAUUAAACAAAUCUAAGAUAAAAACAUUUGGCAGCGGAACACUUGCUUUUUGCUCAGCCCCAAGAUAAAAGCAGAUCAGAGAUGUCUUCAAAUGUACUCACAGGGAAAUCUACAAUCCAUUGUGAAACUCCCAUUUAUUUUCCUGAUAUCUCCCAAGCCCCAAGAAGUCUUGGAUGGGAGCUCAGACCCAGCCUGCCUGUUCAGAUGACUGAUGCUGGAGACUAUGGAAGCUCAGGUGACCACAAUGUCUGACAUAUAAGGGCUCUGAAUAGCCAACAGGCAAUGCACCACCUCCAGGUUUGGCAACAAAGAGUAAACAUACCUGUGUGAUUGAAAGUGAAGCUUUUUCAUCCAGUUUGACAGCAGUUUAUAUCCCUGGUUAUGAUGGCAAAUGUUUUGAGCUUGUGUAUAUGGAAUACUUGCAAUGUGAUGUGAUUGUAUAACAUAACAAAGUACCAUAGAGCUGAGUCCGUAUAAGAGGAAAUUUGGGCCAAUUAUGAAAGUCCCACAAUACAUUUACAAAAGACAGAGGCUCGCUUCAUGCUUACCAUUCAACAAUUUAAAGCAUGCAUAGUGCACUUAAAUUGCUAUAUUGCUUCUCAUGUUGAGAAAUUUAGUGAUGAUACAUUUCUACACACCUAUAAACAUGUUCAGUUUGUUCCAUGUCAUGUAAUGAGUGAACUACUACUAUGUUCUGUGUUAAGGGAGUUUUGAAGGAAUCUGCUACAGGGAGGAGGACAGGCACAUUAUCACAGUGGAUGAUUUCAACAUGUCAUAGUCCCCAGGUUUUGAUUGAGAACCUUCUGCAUAGCAUGCUUAGAAGUGGUCUACGCUAUCUAAGAUUAAGGGGCACAUCUUUGAGGUGACAUGGCUAUUUAAACACCAAGGAUUUUUCCAUAUGACCUCUUAUCCAGAAUUAAUUCUGAUUCCUUUGUACAAAAUUUGUGCAGAGGUUAUAUAAAGUUGAUAUUUA